UUUCGGACAAAUAGAAGUACAAAAGCAGGGGACAAGGCAUCAGUCAUGGUCCCAUAACUGAACCUCACCCUCAGAACCCACAAAUCAGUAGCAGCAGCAAGAGACACCAAUUGAUAAUUAAUGUCUCUCUUCAAUGCAACAUGACCAAUCUCUCUUGAAAACUCAAACAUUCUUCGCUAAUACCAAGAAAAAUCCACCUUUCUUGACCACUGUUUCUUGCUCAAAGUCAUCAUCGCAACCAACACCAUCACCAUCUGGCGAUAAUAGUGAAAGUGAAAGGCCACAGUAGAGAUUAUCACAGCAGUCAUCAUGGGAAGCCAAGGAUUCAGAGGGAAAGACUAUCUUUACUGGCUAGGAAAAGAAGCUGAUAGUAUGAACAUCGCAGUUGGAGCUAGGGGUGGUGUUAUAGAUCCUCUUUUUUCUGGCGAUUUUCUUGGCAAAGACUCUGAUAUUGUGUUUGAUUACCGUCAAAAAGUGACAAGGUCUUUUGAGCAUCUUCAAGGCGAUUGUUAAAUUGCUCCUUUGUUCUUGGUAAUUUCCCUUAACUAUUUUCCCUCUUUGUUUUUGUCUUAGCUUAGUUCCUGUAUGCCUAUUCGUUAGUAUCGUAGUUCUCUUGGAUAUUUCCGGUGCUUCUGUUGCUACUUGCUGGAUAAAUGUUUUGGAAGACGCCAUAUGGAGGGCAGAUAUGUUUUGUUUGAUUUGAGCUCUGAAAAAUAUACAAAUACACCAGUAUUUGCAAGAGAAGAGAUACAAGGAUAAUGAGGUACAAAACUCAUGUAUAGAACAAAGCAUGAGACCCGUUUCUGGCAGUGGGAAGGAGCAUAUCAGCAGGUGCAGAAGGAAGUUUACGCUUGUCCAUCACGUUGAAGUCCUGUUUUUUGCCAUUGUGGCUUGAUGAUAUUGAAGGUGUAGAAAAUCUUGGUAAAAGACUUCUCCAGCGAAGAAAGGACGAGAAACUUCCUGUGUUUACUCCUCCAGAGCAAACAGUGGAGGCUUUGCUUGAAUCAGGAUACUCUCUCAUCAAAGAGCACCAGCUAAUUAUAGAGACCAGUGUUUGGCAUCGUGAUAGCUUUUACGAUUACGGUUUGAAAAAAGCUGCAAACUAUAACAUUUCUCAAACCCAAGUUUUUACCACAAUUUAAGAUGAAAAACCGGUUUAAGCAAUGAAAACCAAACAAUUUUUGAAGCUGUGGUCAGAGCAUAAAACAUCUUCAACCAUACCAGUACACAAUACCAAACAGAGGUUGAACGUUGAUGACUAAAAAGGAGGAAGGAAAUUGCAGGAAUGGAUGAUUUAUAAAUCAGACGAGUUUGAAAAGAUGUUGCAUGGUCAUUGUUGCUGUUAGUUUUCUCUUUGCUUCCUUGUAAAGUCUGCCCCAGCCAUGAUACAGGCAAAUUUCUUAACUUGUUGCCUCGAACAGAACGUAGCUCGAAAGUAGCCCAUGGCAGCAUCAAAGAGAGAGGCAUGAUUGAAGAGCUCCAUCAUAGGUUCCUUCCUAUCCAUUUUGCCUCAUAGUUUUUACAAGUAUAAACCUGUCGUUCUCUUAAAGCAUUCAUUCCAUGGUCUCUUAAAAUGUCUGGGUGUGUUUUAGUAAUAAAAAAACCGUUCUUCCUUU